UGUAGUUACUGCUCCCUGCCUCUUCCCUCGUUCUUUCAGAGCCGCAAAGAUGGUGAACCACAGGCUAAAGCGCGUGCAGAGCAAGCGGUACUCCACGCCCAGGAGGCCCUACGAGAAGUCCCGCCUCGACCAGGAGCUGAAGCUUCUGGGAGAGUAUGGGCUACGUAACAAGAGGGAAUUAUGGAUUGUCAAGAUGCUCUUGGCCAAGAUCCGAAAGGCUGCCCGAGAGCUCCUAACCCUUGAUGAGAAGGACCCAAGAAGGCUUUUCCAAGGUAAUGCUCUGCUUCGUCGCUUGGUUCGUACUGGUGUCCUGGAGGAAUCCCGCAUGAAGCUUGAUUACGUGUUGGGUCUGAAGAAUGAGGACUUCUUGGAACGUCGCCUGCAGACACAGGUCUUCAAGCUUGGACUGGCUAAGUCCAUCCAUCACGCACGUGUCCUCAUCAAGCAGGGCCACAUCAGGUGAGACCAUAUGUGACUUCAUUGGUCAACCCUCCCUCAGUAUACAUUUGGUAUAUUCAUGUUCAGUUAUUUCUAGAGGCCACUUGACUAGGUAUAUCCUAGCAACGUCUCAUUUAAUUGCGAUGAUACUACGGCCCACAUUAACCUUAGUGAAGCUUGAGCUUCCUGUGAUGGGUGCGCAAGCAGGUCGUGAAUGUACCCUCAUUCAUUGUACGUCUAGACUCCCAGAAGCACAUUGACUUCUCCCUCAAGAGUCCAUUCGGUGGUGGACGCCCAGGCCGUGUCAAGAGGAAGAACCUCCGUAAGGGAAGCGGAAAGGCUGAUGAGGGCGAUGGUGAAUCUGAUUAGAUCCGUGGUUUCCUGUUGCAAUAAAGGAAGGGAACUA